rnacentral:rRNA from 1 species
UACAGAGGUCUCAAGCGUUUGUUCGGAAUUACUGGGCGUAAAGGGUGCGCAGGCCGCGCGGGCAGUCAAAUGUGUAAUCCAGGGGCUCAACCCCUGAACUGCGCUUGAUACUCCGCGCUCGAGCUUUGGAGAGGAGUCUGGAAUUCUCGGUGUAGCGUGAAAUGCGUGGAUAUCGAGAAGAACACUUAGGGCGAGGCAAGACUCUGGACAAAUGCUGACGCUCGAUGCACGAAGGCUAGGGUAGCGAACGGGAUAGAAACCC